rnacentral:rRNA from 1 species
GACGAACGCUGGCGGCGUGCUUAACACAUGCAAGUCGAACGGAAAGGCCCUGCUUUUGUGGGGUGCUCGAGUGGCGAACGGGUGAGUAACACGUGAGUAACCUGCCCUUGACUGUGGGAUAACUUCAGGAAACUGGGGCUAAUACCGGAGAGGAGCUCCUGCUGCAUGGUGGUGGUUGGAAAGUUUCGGCGGUUGGGGAUGGACUCGCGGCUUAUCAGCUGGUUGGGGGGGUAGUGGCUUACCAAGGCUUUGACGGGUAGCCGGCCUGAGAGGGUUACCGGCCACAUUGGGACUGAGAUACGGCGCAGACGCCUACGGGAGGCAGCAGUGGGGAAUAUUGCACAAUGGGCGGAAGCCUGAUGCAGCAACGCCGCGUGCGGGAUGACGGCCUUCGGGUUGUAAACCGCUUUCGCCUGUGACGAAGCGUGAGUGACGGUAAUGGGUAAAGAAGCACCGGCUAACUACGUG